rfam:Prochlorococcus phage P-SSM7, complete genome.
AGACAACUUUCCUUCCCUUACCAAGACUUAACGGGGUUAUAAUUAGUCUUCAUAUCCACUAGUGAAGGGAUUAGUGGAAAUAUUAUAUCGC